rnacentral:lncRNA from 1 species
CAGAAGUCCACUAUAGUGGUGGUGGGAAGAACUCAACAAUCAUCACCAAGCUGGCACCCAGAUUCAACCCCCAGACUGGAGCAUCACAAAAAGGGGAGGCAACAAAAGAGGCUAUUGGAUUGUUGUGGCUGAUUAAGACGUCGCUAAGAACACUGCCUUAUUAUCUGGAGCAACAGCCCAUUCCAGCACUUGCAGAGGGACUGGCAUAGCCAGAAUCGCUGAUCCUG